UACGUAGGGGGCAAGCGUUGUCCGGAUUUAUUGGGCGUAAAGAGCGUGUAGGCGGCUUUACAGGUCCGUUGUGAAAACUCGAGGCUCAACCUCGAGACGCCGGUGGAAACCGUAAAGCUAGAGUCCGGAAGAGGAGAGUGGAAUUCCUGGUGUAGCGGUGAAAUGCGCAGAUAUCAGGAAGAACACCCGUGGCGAAGGCGGAUCUCUGGGCCAUUACUGACGCUGAGGAGCGAAAGCGUGGGGAGCGAACAGG
rnacentral:rRNA from 1 species